UACGUAGGUGACAAGCGUUAUCCGGAAUUACUGGGCGUAAAGCGCACGCAGGCGGCGCAUUAAGUCUGACGUGAAAUCUCCUGGCUUAACUGGGAGGGGUCGUUGGAGACUGAUGUGCUUGAGGCGAUGAGAGGGGUGUAGAAUUCCCGGUGUAGCGGUGAAAUGCGUAGAUAUCUGGAGGAAUACCGGUGGCGAAGGCGGCAUCCUGGACCGACAUUGACGCUGAGGAGCGAAAGCCAGGGGAGCAAACGGG
rnacentral:rRNA from 1 species